rnacentral:rRNA from 1 species
UAGUCCACGCCGUAAACGAUGAUCACUCGAUGUGUGCAAUACACCGUACGCGUCCAAGCGAAAGCGUUAAGUGAUCCACCUGGGAACUACGAUUGCAAAAUUAAAACUCAAAGGAAUUGACGGGGACUUACACAAGCAGUGGAGCAUGUGGUUUAAUUCGAUGAUACGCGAGGAACCUUACCAGGGCUUAAAUGUAAGUUGCAUGAUUUAGAGAUAGAUCUUUCUUCGGACUACUUACAAGGUGCCGCAUGGUUGUCGUCAGCUCGUGCCGUGAGGUGUCAGGUUAAGUCCUAUAACGAGCGCAACCCCUACCGUUAGUUGCCAGCAUGUUAUGAUGGGGACUUUAAAGAGACUGCCGGUGACAAACCGGAGGAAGGUAAGGAUGACGUCAAGUCAGCAUGCCCCUUAUGCUCUGGGCUACACACGUGCUACAAUGGCCGUGACAAAGAGUUGCUACCUUGUGAAAACAAGCUAAUCUCAUAAACGCGGCCUCAGUUCGGAUUG